rnacentral:lncRNA from 1 species
CUCUGAGUUAGAGUAAACUGUCAAGACUUAAAACUUACUUACUUUACCUUCACCAUGGGACUUGUAACUGUCACUUCUGUCUUGAGUGGUUAAAAGAUAGAACAGUCUAGCCAAGUGUCAUGUCUCUUAUUCUUGAUCAGCUAUAGCUCUGGGGUUUUUGCAGAUUUUCAAAUAAAACUCAGAAAUUCCUUGUAUGAUUCUCUCAGGUCUCUCUUUUGUGGUAUUUUUGGAUCCUUACCAAGGCAUUGAUGGUAUAUGCCUUCUCUCAAGAUAUGUAGUAUUUGUGGUAUAAGGCAUAGUGACAUUGCCUUCUCUCUCACCCUACUCUAAUAAGGCUUUAAUAUCUGGAGCUCAUAGGUGGGAGAUAAAGUAUACAUACUUAUAAGACAUUUAUUGCAUAGUCAAACCAUGGAUCCAAAGAAACAAAUCAAUAAGUUUAAUCAAGAUGUGCAUGUGUGGCGAAUGAAUGAUGUAUGGUGAUGAUGGUGAUAACAAUGGUGAAAACAAUGGUGGUGGAAGUCUAAUUCUACUUUGCUCUUUUGAGGGGAUACAUACCUUCCUUGCCUUUGAAACUUUAUGAGGAGAAUGAGAUGCUCUUCUUUUUCUUUUCUCUCAGGUGGGUAUCUUGCACCCCUAAUUCUACUGUCGGACACUUGUCCAUUUUUACCUCUCGUCUCACUUUUUUUUUCUUUUGAGGUUCCGAGCACUUGCUCCUUUUUAUUUCCUCGUACCUCUUUUUUUUAGAGCAUUCAUCUCUUGAGAUAAUAUAGCAAGUGGUAGUAACAAGAUAACUUGAGCAUUUAUUUCACAAGGGGAAAACAGAAAUAUUUUUGGUUACUCUCUCCCGGAUUAGGAGUAGAAUAUUUUUGGGUGAUUCUGGAGAUGGAAUGGGUGGAUAUAUGUGGAUGGUACUUCCAGAGUAGAAGUAGCAUAUAUGAGUGAACGUGCAAGUGAAAUCUUGAUUUAACCAUAUGACAAGUUCCUAAGGGUCAACACAGCUUGACCACACUCAAUGCUCAUAAGCAGUAAAUAGUAAAUGUGUGGCUCAAAGUCUAGCAAGCAUGUAUAUAUGGCUGUGGUAGGAAUUUAAACUCUCAUCAUACAGGAACUCAUCAUGCAACAUUUUAAAGAUUUUCAAAGAUAAAAUUCUCCAGAAUUCUAGCAUCUCUAGGAACAGAUAAACAGCAGCUCAACCUUCCCAUAUCAUAUCCGUUAACAACUUAGACUUCAGAUCAAAUUUUCAUCCCACAAGUUUAGGUCUAGAGCAAGCCUUAAAUUAUAACAGUUAUGUCUAAACUUGAGAGAGAACUUAAAAUGUGCAAAUUAGGC